CCCUGAGUUGCCCAGGCUGGCCUUGAACUUAUGGCUCUCUAGGUGUAACGACAACACUGUGGCUACAUAAGGGGAAAUCCUUGCUCCUGGAAGACACCUGCUGAAAUACUCAGGGUGAAGCAUCAGGCCAUCUGCAACACCCUUUCCAAUGACUCAGCAGAGCCAUUCGACGGACAGUGAGGGAAAGGGUACGUGGCCAAAUGGUAACCGUGGGUGAGUCCAGAUGAAGGUUCUUCAUUUUUCUGUCAAGUUUGACAAUUUCAAAAUAAAACAUCAGAAGGAAACAAAC